AAUCUGCUGAACAGCAAAUUUUUGUAAAGAAGCAAGCAUUCUUGUAAAGCAUUGCAUUCCAAAACUCAAGAAAACUCAGGUAAUGGAAUAGAAGAAUACAAGUAAACUUCCAGCUUUCCCACAGAAGGUGGCAGCAUUGGAAGCACUAAUUUCAGUUUGAGUGUUCGAGCUGAUGUCUCCCCUGCUGAUAGGACAGGAGCAUCUCAGAAAUGUGUUCUCCUCAGAGGAUGUGGUGACUGUAAACAACAGUGCUUAGGGGCAGUUUCACUCUGAGUCUAGAGGACUUGCAGAGGAAGGAGAAACUGCAUUCACACAGGCUGUGUUAGCAAGCAGAACACACAGGUGUUCAAUCAACACACAUGUUGAUUGAACAGGUGUAAAGCCAGAAGGAUUUUAUUUUAACCUAGCUUUAUUUACUAAUUUUAAGUGUAAUACUGCUGGAGUGCCUGUUAAUGGCAGCUGACUCAAGAAGGAAUUGCUGCGUACUUGCAGUCUGAGUUCUUGAUCCUGUGUCCUACCAUGGCAGUCCUGCUAGCACAGAGACCUUGCAGCCCCUUUGACAGGUUAACACUUAGUGAACCUGCCUGGCUGCUUAUCAGGUACCUCAUCUGGGCAAGGAAGUGGUGACUGACAGAUGCAGAAGUAGUUGUUGCUUAAACCUCUCUGCUGUGAUUAACCCUGCACACACUGCCAGUGCAUCUGAAGAAUUUCUCAGUCAGGUUAGCCAAAGCCACAUGUGAAGCUGGUUUAGACUAGUGGUUUUCUAAUCACUGUAUGUAUAGUUCCUUUAAUGGACCGGAAAGGAAGCUGAGACAGCACGGGGAUCUUAUUCCUAUCCUUUCUGCAGAUUCAUGAAGCCCCCAUACUCUCAUCCAAGAGGAGGGAAGAGGCUGGAUUCUUGCAUGUCUAGUAGGAAAAAAAAAAAAAAAGGACAGGAAAAUUGUAUCCCACAGAAGAGGUUUUUGCCAGUGAAGAACUGCUGACCAUUGUGGGUUCCUGUGUGUUUGGCAGAUUUUUGCUUUCCCUCUCUUGGAAUGGAAACAAAUAAUAAUAUGUAUGUGUAUACAUAUAUAUGGCUGGGAUAUUUCUACAGCAGUUAUCUGCAGUUGUUGUCUUCCAGGCUGGCAAGAAACAUUGCUAACCUGCUUUGAGGAAGGGAACCAGCGUGUAUGUUGGAGAUAUAGCUAUGUCUGGUUUGCAGUGAUUUGGGGCCAGGCCAGUGAUUGUAAAUGUGUGUCAGUUGUGCAUGAGAGGUCCAAACAAUUACAGAAAAAGGGAAGGGGCCCAAAGUCUGAAACGUUUGGGAACUGUUGAGAAAAACAAGCUGCUUUGUUUUGUUGGCUUGAAGGGCUCAAGCAAUUGCCUACUGAAUCUCAGUUGGAAGAGGCAACUUGCAGCUGAGAGGAGAUAAGGAGCUUCCAGAAACACAUAUUGGAUGUAACUCUGGAAAGGAGAGGCCUUUUCCAAUCCCUGUAGUGGUCAGUCUAGUUCAUAGAGUGACUGUGCUCCAUGACAGUCAGCAUGUGGAUGUCUGAAUGUUGAUACUUGGUGCCUUACGAACACAACCAUGAGGACCUGCUUCAUGCCAACAGCAUUAAUUGCCAUUUCAUCAACAGCAGCUCUCAUGGAGUUGUUUACUGCUCUCCAUUGCCCAUUCUGAAAAUCUGACCAGGAAAGUUUGAAGGUAACCACAGUAAAAUUUGAUUGUUGUCUCUCAGCAUUCAGUGCUUUGGACAGAGCAUUUUCCCCAACAAGAUGUGAGCAAAAGCACUCUACAUCGAGGGAAUGACAAACACUUAAUAGAUACUUAUAAAGAGAAAUGUAUCAUGUGGAUCUGUGUGUGGAAUUGGACUUAAAUGAAAUAAGUGCAAAGAGACGGAACUUCUGCCAUCAACCAUGUUACUUUUAUUUAAUAAGUAAGGUGUGUUUUUAAUAUAAGUGGUUUUUUAUUUUUAUUUUGCUGCUGACUUUUCAACAGUACCGUACCCAAAUGAUUUUACAAAUGUAAUGCUCAAUACACAGUUUAUUGCUCAUUGUUUUUGUAGGAACAUAACUUCUAUAAUGGGAAUGAAUUUAAGAAUGAGUAAGGCACCCUACUAAUGUGCUGAUUUCAUCUGUUGUAGCAACAUGCAUAAAAUUUCAUUUUGCUUUUCCCACUGUCCUUAUUAGGUAAGAAGUAAGUUAGACUUUAUUAUCUGUACAAAGCCCAAUGCCUUACCUAAAAAGUCAAAACUUGAAAACGCUUCCUAAUUUUUAACAUAACCUCCCACCUUAUAAAAUUAGCUUUCAUGCAGUGUAUCUUGAUUUCUGCUUUAUCUGAAGGCAAAAGUUAAUUCUGUUCUUUCCUUGCCUUUGCCUUUACUAGGAUACUUGCCUUGCAAGAGGACUGUUCACAUACUACUUAAGACAGAUGACCUGACUUGCUUUGUAUCCAUGUUUUCUUCUUGCACUGACCCUGUUCAAAACAUAAUGAAAAUGCAAAGGCAUCUCCACUGCCUGAUUUUGUGAUGCUGGGCCCCAAACAAUCAUUAGCAUGGGAGAGAACCUCCACAGAAGCCACUUACAAGAUCUCGUUUCACUCUGCCCUAAAUUAGACCUUCCCAGCAGUUUUCAAAGUUGUCCGUUUUCCUCGAGGAUCCACUGUAGCUCUUUCUCUUUCAGGGCUGCAAACAGCACUGUCUCAGGCAGCCACCUCAUAAGCCACCAGGGCAGCAAUCAGUUUGUGGAGGCUUCAAUGACUGACAACCUAUUGCUGAAGUGCAGACACAUGAUCAAAUAAGCAAACCAAUGACACCACCAUAUCCAGCUCCCAUCUUUCUUGAAACACUUUGUUACACUCUUAUUGGAAAUUAUUGGAAAGGAUAGCAGAGAUAAUGGAUUCAGAAUGAUACAUUUUUUAAUUUAAAACAGACUAUAUCAUAAUUUCCUAGUGCUCUAUGGUUUCUUAUUUAAAACUGUAACGUUCUUGCAAGGUAAUACAAACAUAACAGACAGUUACCAGUUAUAUGGAGUAUCUAGUACAGAUAUGACAAUGCCCAGCUAUACACAAACAUUGAAAUGCAAAAUGUCUUUUAAUUACAUAAGUUAUUACAGUACUCUUUUAAAGGAAUCUUUUGGUUAUAUGUAAACGCUAUACAUAAGCCGCAUAAAAAAAUACACACGUAAAAUGAAUAUGGCAUUGGCAUAGUUUAAAACACAGUAACUAGCCCUAAAUCUGGAUAUUGUCAGGGUAAAACAGCAAAAGCUGAUCAGUCUAAUGCUACGGAAUAGCAUGCCACAAUUUGGACUUGUUUGAAGAACCAGUGCUUCUUUGAGUUCCUUCCUUAUGUUUUCUUAAGAUCUUCAGCUAAGGAAUGGGCCAACUUGUACUAUGUUUGGCAGGACAAUAAAUGUUAUUUUGAAUGUUGCCAUUUUAAUAUUAAAAGCCAUCUAAAUUAACUCUCCUAAAUACGUACUGGUUUAAAUUAAAAUCUUGAGGAAUUACAAUCUAUUUACUUGAUGAUUUUGGUUAAAUGCAACUUGAUGUAUGCAGAAUGCUGUUUCAUUUAAGAUCAUUCUUAGUAAGGCAUAUUAAAAAUAAAUACAAAAGUGACAACAUA